rnacentral:rRNA from 1 species
GACGAACGCUGGCGGCGUGCUUAACACAUGCAAGUCGAACGGAAAGGCCCUGCUUUUGUGGGGUGCUCGAGUGGCGAACGGGUGAGUAACACGUGAGUAACCUGCCCUUGACUUUGGGAUAACUUCAGGAAACUGGGGCUAAUACCGGAUAGGAGCUCCUGCUGCAUGGUGGGGGUUGGAAAGUUUCGGCGGUUGGGGAUGGACUCGCGGCUUAUCAGCUUGUUGGUGGGGUAGUGGCUUACCAAGGCUUUGACGGGUAGCCGGCCUGAGAGGGUGACCGGCCACAUUGGGACUGAGAUACGGCCCAGACUCCUACGGGAGGCAGCAGUGGGGAAUAUUGCACAGUGGGCGGAAGCCUGAUGCAGCAACGCCGCGUGCGGGAUGCCGGCCUUCGGGUUGUAAACCGCUUUCGCCUGUGACGAAGCGUGAGUGACGGUAAUGGGUAAAGAAGCACCGGCUAACUACGUG